GCUGAUAUAGCUUACUAGGUAGAGCACAUUCUUGGUAAGAAUGAAGGUCCCAGUUCAAUUCUGGGUAUCAGCA
rnacentral:tRNA from 1 species